rfam:Myotis lucifugus cont2.6041, whole genome shotgun sequence.
GGCAGUUCUCGGGUGACACACCUCGGAAUCGGGCACCCUCCUCUCUGGUUUCAGGUGCGUUACUGGAGAACUGCA